rnacentral:tRNA from 1 species
GCGCCAGUAGUCUAGGGGUAGGACAUGACCUUGCCAAGGUUAAGACCUGGGUUCAAUUCCCAGCUGGCGCA